AACGAACGCUGGCGGCAUGCCUAACACAUGCAAGUCGAACGAGACCUUCGGGUCUAGUGGCGCACGGGUGCGUAACGCGUGGGAACCUGCCCUUAGGUUCGGAAUAACUCCCCGAAAGGGGUGCUAAUACCGGAUAAUGUCUUCGGACCAAAGAUUUAUCGCCCUUGGAUGGGCCCGCGUUGGAUUAGCUAGUUGGUAGGGUAAAAGCCUACCAAGGCGACGAUCCGUAGCUGGUCUGAGAGGAUGAUCAGCCACACUGGGACUGCGACACGGCCCAGACUCCUACGGGGGGCAGCAGUGGGGAAUAUUGGACAGUGGCGAAAGCCUGAUCCAGCCAUGCCGCGUGAGUGAUGAAGGCCUUAGGGUUGUAAAGCUCUUUUACCCGGGAUGAUAAUGACAGUACCGGGAGAAUAAGCUCCGGCUAACUCCGUG
rnacentral:rRNA from 1 species